UCCGUAGGUGAACCUGCGGAUGGAUCAUUUCGAUGAAAACCUUUUUUCUUGAGGUGUGGCUCGCACCUGUCUAACUAAACUUGAGCUACCUUUUUUCAACACGGUUGCAUCGGUUGGCCUGUCAAACAGUGCGGCGAUCGCGAAAUUGAUUUUUCGCAGCUGCCCAACUCGGCGACGGACCGACACUUUUUACCAAACACUUUUGAUGAUCUAGGAUUUGAAUGAGAAAAGUUCAUUUUUACAAAUGAAAUCGACUGGUAAUGCGGUCGUCUAAUUUUUAAAAACAACUUUUGGCAACGGAUCUCUUGGUUCUCCCAUCGAUGAAGAACGCAGCGAAUUGCGAUAAGUAAUGUGAAUUGCAGAAGUGAAUCAUCGAAUCUUUGAACGCACCUUGCGCUCCCGGCAGAUYUAAUCUGGGGAGCAUGCCUGUUUGAGGGCCGCGAAUUGUUUCGAACGACAACUUUUUUCACAAAGAGUUGGCGGAUCGGUAUUGAGAGUUUUUUUUUGCCAUUCACCGUGGCUCUCUCGAAAUGCAUUAGCGCAUCCAUUUGAUAGGCAAGACGGACGAAAGCUCAUCUUUUCGCUCUCUCUUCCCUGCCGGGUUUUGAUAAUAUCAGGACUUCGGAGAGGUUGAGAUGGGUACGAGCUGGACGCAACGACUUGCUGUUUGGAGUGCUUCUGAAACCUGCCCAUGUCGAGCACUAUGCUCGGAAGGGAUUUUACUAAUUCACAUCGGCCUCAGAU
rnacentral:rRNA from 1 species